rnacentral:rRNA from 1 species
CGCCUGGUAGCGGGGGGUAACUAUUGGAAACGAUAGCUAAUACCGCAUAGCAGUAGAUAUCGCAUGAUAGCUGCUUGAAAGGUGCAAUUGCACCACUACCAGAUGGACCUGCGUUGUAUUAGCUAGUUGGUGAGGUAACGGCUCACCAAGGCAACGAUACAUAGCCGACCUGAGAGGGUGAUCGGCCACACUGGGACUGAGACACGGCCCAG